UACGGAGGGGGCUAGCGUUGUUCGGAAUUACUGGGCGUAAAGCGCACGCAGGCGGUUCGCCAAGUUUGGAGUGACAGUUGUCGGCUCAACCGACAAAGGACUUCAAAAACUGGUGAACUUGAGGACGAGAGAGGAACAUGGAACUCCAGGUGUAGUAGUGAAAUGCGUAGAUAUCUGGAAGAACACCAAUGGCGAAGGCAAUGUUCUGGCUCGUUUCUGACGCUCAGGUGCGAAAGCCAGGGGAGCGAACGGG
rnacentral:rRNA from 1 species